UACGGAGGGUGCAAGCGUUAUCCGGAUUCACUGGGCUUAAAGGGUGCGUAGGUGGGGCUGUAAGUCAGUGGUGAAAUCUCCAAGCUUAACUUGGAAACUGCCGUUGAUACUAUAGCUCUUGAAUGUUGUGGAGGUGAGCGGAAUAUGUCAUGUAGCGGUGAAAUGCUUAGAUAUGACAUAGAACACCAAUUGCGAAGGCAGCUCACUACACAAAUAUUGACACUGAGGCACGAAAGCGUGGGGAUCAAACAGG
rnacentral:rRNA from 1 species